rfam:Camelus ferus unplaced genomic scaffold scaffold526, whole genome shotgun sequence.
GAGGGUAUAGCGCAAGUGGCAGAGUACGUGCUUAGCAUGCACGGGGCCCUGGGUUCAAUCCCCAGGACCUCCU